CAGCAGCCGCGGGAAUACAGAGGGUGCGAGCGUUAAUUGGAUUUACUGGGCGUAAAGCGUGCGUAGGCGGCUUUUUAAGUCGGAUGUGAAAUCCCUGAGCUUAACUUAGGAAUUGCAUUCGAUACUGGUUAGCUAGAGUGUGGGAGAGGAUGGUAGAAUUCCAGGUGUAGCGGUGAAAUGCGUAGAGAUCUGGAGGAAUACCGAUGGCGAAGGCAGCCAUCUGGCCUAACACUGACGCUGAGGUACGAAAGCAUGGGGAGCAAACAGGAUUAGAUACCCGAGUAGUCCCUGUCUCUUAUAC
rnacentral:rRNA from 1 species